rnacentral:rRNA from 1 species
ACGAACGCUGGCGGCGUGCUUAACACAUGCAAGUCGAACGGAAAGGCCCUGCUUUUGUGGGGUGCUCGAGUGGCGAACGGGUGAGUAACACGUGAGUAACCUGCCCUUGACUUUGGGAUAACUUCAGGAAACUGGGGCUAAUACCGGAUAGGAGCUCCUGCUGCAUGGUGGGGGUUGGAAAGUUUCGGCGGUUGGGGAUGGACUCGCGGCUUAUCAGCUUGUUGGUGGGGUAGUGGCUUACCAAGGCUUUGACGGGUAGCCGGCCUGAGAGGGUGACCGGCCACAUUGGGACUGAGAUACGGCCCAGACUCCUACGGGAGGCAGCAGUGGGGAAUAUUGCACAAUGGGCGGAAGCCUGAUGCAGCAACGCCGCGUGCGGGAUGACGGCCUUCGGGUUGUAAACCGCUUUCGCCUGUGACGAAGCGUGAGUGACGGGAAUGGGUAAAGAAGCACCGGCGAACUACGC